rnacentral:rRNA from 1 species
UAACACGUGGACAAUCUGCUCUUAGGUGGGGGAUAACCUCGGGAAACUGAGGAUAAUACCCCAUAGGUGAGGAGCUCUGGAAUGAGCCUCGCUGAAAGGCGCCAGCCUGUUCCGGCUGGUUGUGCCUAAGAAGGAGUCUGCGGCGGAUUAGGUUGAUGUUAGGGUAAUGGCCUAACAUGCCCACGAUCUGUAUCGGCUAUGAGAGUAGGAGCCGGGAGAUGGAUACUGAGACAAGGAUCCAGGCCCUACGGGGCGCAGCAGGCGCGAAAUCUUCGCAAUGUGCUAACGCACGACGAGGGAACCCCAAGUGCUCUUGUACAACAAGAGUUUUUGCGGAGUGUAAAUAGCUCCGAGAAUAAGGGCUGGGUAAGGCUGGUGCCAGCCUCCGCGGUAAAACCAGCAGCUCUAGUGGUACUCGCGUUUAUUGGGCUUAAAGCGUACGUAGUCGGUUCGGCAAGUUCCCUGUAAAAUCCUGUGACUCAAUUACAGGGCGUGCGGGGAAUACUACCGAGCUAGGAACCGGGAUAGGUCAGGGGUAUUCCUUGGGUAGCGGUGAAAUGCUAUAAUCCAAGGAAGACCACCAAUAGCGAAGGCACCUGUCUGGAACGGGUUCGACGAUGAGGGACGAAAGCUAGGGGAGCAAACGGGAUUAGAUACCCCGGUAGUCCUAGCCGUAAACGAUGCAGACUAAGUGUUUCUCGAACUUUGCGUUCGGGAAGCGUUGAAGGGAAACCGUUAAGUCUGCCGUCUGGGGAGUACGGUCGCAAGGCUGAAACUUAAAGGAAUUGGCGGGGGAGCACCACAAGGGGUGGAGUCUGCGGUUUAAUUGGAUACAACGCCGGGAAACUUACCAGGGGGCGACGGCAGGGAUGACGGCCAGGCUGAAUGUCUUGCCAGACGAGCCGAGAGGUAGUGCAUGGCCGCCGUCAGCUCGUACCGUAAGGCGUGCGGUUAAGUCCGUU